rnacentral:misc_RNA from 1 species
AAGUCGUAACAAGGUUUCCCUCUACGAGACCCUGUGGUGCUGGCUUUAGCCAGCGAUCGCCGCGACUGUAAAUAAUAUUGGCGUUUACCGCAAGUCCCCGAAGGGGCGACACUGCACGAUUGACGGGAAUGCUUGCACAGGCAGGCAACCCGCAAGCCCCUACCCGGGGUCCACAGACUAAGUGGCAGUGGGCACGGCUUUCCGUGCUUAAGAUAUAGUCGGCCUCGGUGCGUGAGCCCCGAGAUGAAGCGUCCGUAGGUCGACCGCAAGUUUUGCCUACCAAAGCAGGUUUCGAAAGAACUGCUAGUCUCCCUUGUGAGGCGACACGCUCAGUGUGCGGGAAGGCCCUUUCAAGGGAAAUCGCAGCCACCCCCUACCCGGGGGCUGGUUCAGAGACUCGAUAGUGUGGGUAUGGCCGUGUGGGCCGAGCUUGAGAUAGAGCCCGUCCCUGCUGGAAACUUCAGGGAGUGACGGAACCUGCGGAAGGAUCAUUAAAGAAUCGGCGGCCUUCGUGGCCCUGAUCUCACCCUUUGUAUACCUGUUAUAAGUUGCUUCGGCAGAUGAAAGCCUGCCGAAAGCCCAAAACCCUUGAAUCCCUGCUGUCCGAGUACUAAUAAUCGUUAAA